rnacentral:rRNA from 1 species
UACGGGGGGGGUAAGCGUUGUUCGGAAUUACUGGGCGUAAAGGGCUCGUAGGCGGCCAACUAAGUCAGACGUGAAAUCUCUCAGCUUAACUGGGGAACUGCGUCUGAUACUGGAUGGCUUGGAUUCGGGAGAGGAAUGCGGAAUUCCAGGUGUAGCGGUGAAAUGCGUAGAUAUCGGGAGGAACACCGGUGGCGAAGGCGGCGACCUGGGUCGAUACUGACGCUGAGGUGCGAAAGCGUGGGGAGCAAACAGG